rnacentral:rRNA from 1 species
UUCAACGGAGAGUUUGAUCCUGGCUCAGGACGAACGCUGGCGGCGUGCUUAACACAUGCAAGUCGAGCGGUAAGGCUCCUUCGGGAGUACACGAGCGGCGAACGGGUGAGUAACACGUGAGCAAUCUGCCCUUCACUUCGGGAUAACCCUCGGAAACGAGAGCUAAUACCGAAUACGACCACCUCAGGCAUCUGAUGGUGGUGGAAAGUUCCGGCGGUGAAGGAUGAGCUCGCGGCCUAUCAGCUUGUUGGUGGGGUAACGGCCCACCAAGGCAACGACGGGUAGCCGGCCUGAGAGGGUGACCGGCCACACUGGGACUGAGACACGGCCCAGACUCCUACGGGAGGCAGCAGUGGGGAA